UCUGGUGUCAGCCGCCGCGGUAAAACCAGCACCUCAAGUGGUCAGGAUGAUUAUUGGGCCUAAAGCAUCCGUAGCCUGCUUUGUAAGUUUUCGGUUAAAUCCAUAUGCUCAACGUAUGGGCUACCGGGAAUACUGCAAAGCUAGGGAGUGGGAGAGGUAGACGGUACUCAGUAGGAAGGGGUAAAAUCCUUUGAUCUAUUGAUGACCACCUGUGGCGAAGGCGGUCUACCAGAACACGUCCGACGGUGAGGGAUGAAAGCUGGGGGAGCAAACCGGAUUAGAUACCCGGGUAGUCCCAGCUGUAAACUAUGCAAACUCAGUGAUGCAUUGGCUUGAUGCCAAUGCAGUGCUGCAGGGAAGCCGUUAAGUUUGCCGCCUGGGAAGUACGUACGCAAGUAUGAAACUUAAAG
rnacentral:rRNA from 2 species